GACGCAUGGUGGUGUAGUUGGUAGCACUGUGGCUUUUUACCAGAAGGUCCUAGGUUCAAAUCCUAGCCUAGUCU